rnacentral:rRNA from 1 species
CCUACGGGAGGCUGCAGUAGGGAAUUUUGCGCAAUGGGGGAAACCCUGACGCAGCAACGCCGCGUGAUCGAUGAAGCCCUUCGGGGUGUAAAGAUCUGUCAGUGGGGACGAAACCUGACGGUACCCACAGAGGACGCACCGGCUAACUCCGUGCACGCCGCCGCGGUAAUACGGGGGGUGCAAGCGUUGUCCGGAAUCAUUGGGCGUAACGGGUUCGUAGGGGGCACGGUAAGGUUGGUGGUAAAGGCGGAAGCUCAACUUCCGUAGGGCACUGGAUACUGGCGAGCUUGAAUGCGGUAGGGGUAAAGGGAAUUCCUGGUGUAGCGGGGAAAUGCGUAGAUAUCAGGAGGAACAUCGGUGGCGGAAGCGCUUUACUGGGCCGUAAUUGACACUGAGGAACGAAAGCCGGGGUAGCAAAUGGGAUUAGAUACCCUGGUAGUC